rnacentral:tRNA from 1 species
GCCUCAGUAGCUCAGUUGGUUAGAGCGCUGCACCGGAAUCGCAGGGCCGUAGGUUCAAUUCCUACCAGAGGAU